CCAAUAGCGUAUAUUAAAGUUGUUGCAGUUAAAAAGCUCGUAGUUGAAUUUCGGGAUCAAGUCGUCGGUCGUGCCUCGGUACGCACUGGUGACAUUGGUUUCUCCCUUCUGAAGAACCUUGAUGUCAUUAAUUUGGUGUCUUGGGGAAUCAGGACUGUUACUUUGAAAAAAUUAGAGUGUUUAAAGCAGGCUCACGCUUGAAUACAUUAGCAUGGAAUAAUGAAAUAGGACGUUUGAUUCUAUUUUGUUGGUUUCUAGGAUCGACGUAAUGAUUAAUAGGGAUAGUUGGGGGCAUUAGUAUUCAAUUGUCAGAGGUGAAAUUCUUGGAUUUAUUGAAGACUAACUACUGCGAAAGCAUUUGCCAAGGAUGUUUUCAUUAAUCAAGAACGAAAGUUAGGGGAUCGAAGACGAUCAGAUACCGUCGUAGUCUUAACCAUAAACUAUGCCGACUAGGAAUCAGACGAUGUUAAUUUUUUAAUGACUCGUUUGGCACCUUACG
rnacentral:misc_RNA from 1 species